CAGAAACGCAGGUUGAACGCUGGAGCCCAGGGCGUCCUCGGUGCCGGAAGCGGCCGCGCGGGCGAAGCGCCGGGGAAGGAGAGCGUGGCGGAGGAGCCGGGCUUCGGGUGGCCAACAUCAGGGCUGGCUUCAAGAGUCCUGGGGAACACUUUUCCCUUAAGGAUCUGGUGGCUUUCACUCCAUUGUCUCAGGCGUGGUGGCUCACACCUGUAAUCCCAGCACUUUGGGAGGCCGACG